rnacentral:rRNA from 1 species
UACGGAGGGUGCAAGCGUUGUCCGGAUUUAUUGGGUUUAAAGGGUGCGUAGGCGGCCAAAUAAGUCUGGGGUGAAAGCCCGCUGCUCAACAGCGGAACUGCCCUGGAUACUGUAUGGCUUGAGGACAGACGAGGUUGGCGGAAUAGAGGGUGUAGCGGUGAAAUGCAUAGAUACCCUCUAGAACCCCGAUUGCGAAGGCAGCUGACUAGACUGUAUCUGACGCUGAGGCACGAAAGCGUGGGGAGCGAACAGG